rnacentral:rRNA from 1 species
AAUACAUCGGAACGUGUCCUGUAGUGGGGGAUAGCCCGGCGAAAGCCGGAUUAAUACCGCAUACGCUCUACGGAGGAAAGGGGGGGAUCUUAGGACCUCCCGCUACAGGGGCGGCCGAUGGCAGAUUAGCUAGUUGGUGGGGUAAAGGCCUACCAAGGCGACNAUCUGUAGCUGGUCUGAGAGGACGACCAGCCACACUGGGACUGAGACACGGCCCAGACUCCUACGGGAGGCAGCAGUGGGGAAUUUUGGACAAUGGGGGAAACCCUGAUCCAGCAAUGCCGCGUGUGUGAAGAAGGCCUUCGGGUUGUAAAGCACUUUUGUCCGGAAAGAAAACCUCUGGGUUAAUACCCCGGGGGGAUGACGGUACCGGAAGAAUAAGCACCGGCUAACUACGUGCCAGCAGCCGCGGUAAUACGUAGGGUGCAAGCGUUAAUCGGAAUUACUGGGCGUAAAGCGUGCGCAGGCGGUCCGCUAAGACAGAUGUGAAAUCCCCGGGCUUAACCUGGGAACUGCAUUUGUGACUGGCGGGCUAGAGUAUGGCANAGGGGGGUAGAAUUCCACGUGUANCAGUGAAAUGCGUAGAGANGUGGAGGAAUACCGAUGGCGAANGCAGCCCCCUGG